rfam:Lupinus angustifolius cultivar Tanjil chromosome LG16, whole genome shotgun sequence.
AUACUUACCUGGAUGGGGUUAAUGGGCGAUCAUGAAGGUCCAUUGCCUAGGGUUGUGACUUCCAUUGCACUUUGGAGGGGUACUCCUCUAAGAUCUGCCCCAGUGGUAGAAUCUACAUCAUAAUUUGUUGCUGUGGAGGCCUGCGUUCGCGCGGCCUCUU